CACGUAGGCGGAUCGGAAAGUUGGGGUGAAAUCCCGGGGCUCAACCCCGGAACUGCCUUCAAAACUAUCGGUCUGGAGUUCGAGAGAGGUGAGUGGGAUUCCGAGUGUAGAGGCGAAAUUCGUAGAUAUUCGGAGGAACACCAGUGGCGAAGGCGGCUCACUGGCUCGAUACUGACGCUGAGGUGCGAAAGCGUGGGGAGCAAAACA
rnacentral:rRNA from 1 species